rnacentral:rRNA from 1 species
UACAGAGGUCUCAAGCGUUGUUCGGAUUCAUUGGGCGUAAAGGGCGCGUAGGCGGCGGGGUAAGUCGGGUGUGAAAUCUCAGAGCUCAACUCUGAAACUGCACUCGAUACUGCCGUGCUUGAGGACUGGAGAGGAGACUGGAAUUUACGGUGUAGCGGUGAAAUGCGUAGAUAUCGUAAGGAAGACCAGUGGCGAAGGCGGGUCUCUGGACAGUUCCUGACGCUGCGGCACGAAGGCCAGGGGAGCAAACGGG